AGCUUUGCGCAGUGGCAGUAUCGUAGCCAAUGAGGUUUAUCCGAGGCGCGAUUAUUGCUAAUUGAAAACUAUUACAACAGAUU
rnacentral:snRNA from 1 species